rnacentral:lncRNA from 1 species
UUACAGGAAUAGAAAAUCAAAAUACAGGCUAUGGACAUCUGGCCAGUAGAUCGGGGGAGAUCUUUUGGGGACAUGCUGUUCCAUGCUCUGCCAACUAUACCACUAGAAGCAGCUCCUUUUCCUUGCCAGAGAAGAAUAACUUUUCAUGGAGACCAGGUAAUGGUUUCACGCGAAGAAGUUUCCUUGUGAGAUGGUAUUUUUUUCUCUAGAUCCACCCCACCAUCCUCAUUGCCUCCUGGUAAGUAACCAGAAUCAGAUCUCAGCACAGCUUGGAGAGAGAAGCAAUUAUUUUGUGCUCAUUAAUGAGGAGAGUCAAAAGCAGUUCACAAUCUCAAAAACAUCUGAAUUAUUUGCAUGCAAGAAGCCAGACAUACACACAAAAUGCAUACUGAAUGAUUCCAUUUAUAUGACUUUCAAGAACAGAUCACAAUCUCUAAUCAUCUUAUUUAUUUGUGCCCUUGUCUGUUUGCCCCCAUAG